rnacentral:rRNA from 1 species
UACAGAGGGGGCUAGCGUUGUUCGGAAUUACUGGGCGUAAAGGGCGCGUAGGUGGCCUGUUAAGUCGAACGUGAAAUCCCCGGGCUCAACCCGGGAACUGCGUCCGAGACUGGCAGGCUCGAAUCCGGGAGAGGGAUGUGGAAUUCCAGGUGUAGCGGUGAAAUGCGUAGAUAUCUGGAGGAACACCGGUGGCGAAAGCGACUCCUGGACCAGUACCGACGUCAGGCACGAAAGCGUGGGGAGCAAACAGG